rnacentral:rRNA from 1 species
AACGAACGCUGGCGGCAUGCCUAACACAUGCAAGUCGAACGAGACCUUCGGGUCUAGUGGCGCACGGGUGCGUAACGCGUGGGAACCUGCCUUUAGGUUCGGAAUAACUCAGAGAAAUUUGAGCUAAUACCGGAUGAUGUCUUCGGACCAAAGAUUUAUCGCCUUUAGAUGGGCCCGCGUUGGAUUAGCUAGUUGGUGGGGUAAAGGCCUACCAAGGCGACGAUCCAUAGCUGGUCUGAGAGGAUGAUCAGCCACACUGGGACUGAGACACGGCCCAGACUCCUACGGGAGGCAGCAGUGGGGAAUAUUGGACAAUGGGCGAAAGCCUGAUCCAGCAAUGCCGCGUGAGUUAUGAAGGCCUUAGGGUUGUAAAGCUCUUUUACCCGAGAUGAUAAUGACAGUAUCGGGAGAAUAAGCUCCGGCUAACUCCGUG